CCGAGGGGGACGUCGGGGCCUGCACUUGGAGGGAGCCUGCCGCACUGGCCCCGAGGAAGGGGCGUUGCCAUGGCGACAGCCUCUCCCGCCGCUGACGGGGGGCGGGGGCGGCCCUGGGAAGGAGGGCUGGUCUCCUGGCCCCCAGCCCCACCCAUUACGCUCCCCUGGACUUGGAUGGGCCCGAGUUGGGGGCAACACCCCGGGCAUUGGGGCUUUCCUGCUCUCACAGAGCCUUCAGCAUCCCCAGCUGCCAAUCUUGGCAUCUUCGAAGUAAGGAGAGUUUUAGAUGCUUCUGGAUGUUCAAUGCUAGCACCUUUACAGACUGGAGCAGCUCGAUUUUCUUCAUAUUUACUUUCAAGAGCAAGAAAAGUGCUGGGCUCCCACUUAUUUUCUCCCUGUGGUGUUCCGGAGUUCUGCUCCAUAUCCACCAGAAAGCUGGCGGCCCACGGCUUUGGCGCAUCCAUGUCGACAAUGGUGUCCUUCCCUCUCCAGAGGUAUCACUACUUUUUAGUGCUGGACUUUGAGGCCACGUGCGACAAACCACAGAUUCAUCCUCAGGAAAUUAUUGAGUUCCCCAUCCUGAAGCUAAAUGGCCAGACCAUGGAAAUUGAGUCUACCUUUCACAUGUACGUCCAGCCUGUAGUCCAUCCACAGCUUACUCCCUUCUGUACAGAGCUCACCGGGAUUAUUCAAGCCAUGGUGGAUGGUCAGCCACGCCUGCAGCAAGUGCUGGAGAAAGUCCAUGAGUGGAUGGCGAAGGAAGGCCUCUUAGAUCCAAACGUCAAGUCAAUUUUUGUCACCUGUGGAGAUUGGGACUUAAAAGUCAUGCUUCCAGGCCAGUGCCAGCACUUGGGUUUGCCAGUGGCGGAUUACUUCAAGCAGUGGAUUAAUCUGAAAAAGGAGGAAGUUCUGCUCUCCCGCUGUGACAGGGAAAGACAAGAAGAUGGGUGCAGUUAGGUGCAGGCAGCACCUGCGGACUUGGUGAUGGCAAGUGGAAGUAGUUCCUGAUGACUUUUAUUUGUCUCUCUGAAAUAGGAGUGUCAGCUCUUGGGAGAUAAUCCAGAGGCUGUGGAGGGAAUACUGCUGUAUUUGGAGUCGGGGCCAGCUGGAGCUGGAAUGUCUUCUUUCUUCUCAUCUCCCUGCCCCCAUGGUUUAGUGCCCUGCCUGGGCUUUUCCUUUAAAUAUGUCUUACAGCUGUCUGAACUCUGAAAUUUCUUUCACUCCUUCCCUCGCCUUGUUAACAUGUGUUGCCUUUGGGGUAAUCAGGGAAAAAAUAUUAUGUCCUUUUACAAUUACCGGGUUUUGGAAUAUUAAAAUGUCUCGCUGCAUCGGCACUGUUAUUUUGAUUGGUAUUCUAACCUUUGACUAGCCCAUAAAGCGCGCCGCUCCUGAAGCCAAUAUUGCAGGACUGAAAUUUAAUUCCGAAAUGAUUCCAGAUAAUAGGGAGACAGAUAAUAUAUGCAUGAAGGAUAUUAUGUUUGGACUAACUGCAGCAGGGCCAGGGCUGGGGAGCUGAAUAAUAGCCCAGAGUGAGUUAUAAUCUGUGGGACAGAAAUGCCUUACUGUCAGGGCCAGAAGAGGAACUCUUAAAUCAAAGGCAUAGGAAAGGGUGUGAUUGCAGUGUGCUUGUUUUGACAGGAAGAGCACUGGAGCCAAGAGGGUAGGUAUUGAAGACUGUGACCCAUUGGCUUAUCCUUUCUCUUGAGCAAGAUCCACGAGACCCUGGAUGAUCUCACUCUUUGCAGCAUCCCUAUCUUCAUAUCUUCUGUUUCUCUAACAUUCUAGCCAUCUCAGGCUUCUUGCUGCUCUUCAAAUAUACAGGACUGUUUUACCUUCUGUUCCCUUUGCUCAUAUUUUCUUUCCCCUUUUAGUGUGUUGGGAAAACUCCUACUCAUCCUUCAAAACCCUCUUUUACAACACCUCCUCUAAUGUUUCUCCACCUCUGGUAUAAAUAGUCUCCACCUCCUUUGUACAGCUUUAGUACUUUCUUUGAAUAUAUCACAUGCUCUUAUAAUUAUCUGCUUACAUGUUCUGUUUCCCACAAGGCUGUGAGUUCCCUGAGAUCUGCAUGCCAUCCAUUUAUGUAUUUCCAGUGCUCAGCCCUGAUCCUGGCACACACUAGGUAAAAACCAGCAUAAACUGAACCCAUGCUGGAUAUCAAGCUGGACGGAGUUCUGGGGUCCAGAUGCUUAUUCCCCUCCAACAUUUCCCAGACAAAUAGAGAAGUUAAGUGACAGGCCUUAGGGCACAUAGCCACAUGGGUUAAAGCUAGGAUUUGAACGCAGGUAGGUAUUUUUUUUAACCCAGACAAUAUGUGCAGGUAGCCAGGAAGGAGUUGGAGGCCAGGGUAGGGAAAGACAGAGACUCAAUUCCCUUCAAUAGCCAGGGCUUGAAUCUUUGCUAGAGAUUGCACUGGCUCCUAACAUUCAUGGGACUUAAGUCCUAGAAGGGAUGGUGCCUCCUGUUGCUGCUAAUCACCUUUGACAGUUUUUCACACAGAAGACACUUACCUAUUUGAGUUUGUAAUUAUGGAUCAGGAAAGUACCCCAAGAAAGGUACUCAGGUGUGAUACUGGAGAACUCUUGGAGACAUACACAGGCAGAGCACAUGGAGCUCUUGGUGAUGUCAGAAAACUUCACAGACAUUACCUUCUCCCUUGAACACUUGGUGGAACUUGGAUUUUGGUUCUUUAGUGAUUAAAAAAAAUGCAUAAUGCAAAAACUACAGUGAAUUUGGUGACUUUUACAAGGAUUUAUAUUUUGUUGAUUACAGUAGCAUCUGCAUAAACCGGGACAAACUAGCAUAAUAAUAUGUGAGACUCACCCUUCACUUAGUCUUCAGGUGAUGCUUGGGGUGUGCACUGUCCCCCUGGGAAGUGGCUCAUAGUGGUCAGCCUCUGCUCCUCCCCUGUCUUCUCACUGACCACCGGAGGAGAGAUGACUAAGCUUCAAGGAAGAGAGGGAGGGAACUUUAAGCCUUUGUGAGCAAGAGCUAGGAAAAAGAGACUUCCCCAGCAGAAUUCAAGUGAGCUCCAGAGGAGAAGAACCUAAUGCUGUUCACCCUCAUCUCACAGUGAAGAAUAGGGUCGAAGAACAGGGCUGUCCUUGAUUCCAGCUGCCAUCAUCAUGCCUGGCUGGCCAGUGCAGUACAGUCACACUCGCUUUCAGAUGGUUUCGGGCUCUGACACCUGUCUUAAGACCUUGGAUGAGUUACCUUCUCAGAACCUUAAUUUUCUCACUUAAACAACAGAGAUUAAUAACAAUACUACUAUAAAAAAAUGCUUUCUAUGAAUUGACUCACCUAAUCCUCAAGCAAUUCUAUAAGUACUAUUAUUAGCCAUCUUACAGAUGAGGAAACAAGUACAGAGAGAUUAAGAACCUACUACAGGAUUCCAUGCCUCCAGCACAAAGGUGGAAGGAGUUUUUUCUCCUUGGGGCCAGAGAGAAAGUCCACAGAGGUUUCAUGAGGAGACACUUAAAGUUGGUCCAUGAAAGAUGAGUAAGUUUUCAGGAGAUGGUGGAAAGAGCCCUGUAGGCAGAGGGAGCAGUGUGAGCAACAGCCCGUGAGAGGAGAAGCAGCUGCUGGACUAGGGAACUACAAACAUCAGUUUCUGACUACUGAUGCCAUGUGUAAGCUUGUGGGGAAAGCAGAGGAAAUGCGAGCAAGCACGCACAAUAAGAAAACCUUGCCCAGUGUCUCAAGUAGAGCUACCAUAAGCUGCCUUCUAAGAAUGGGCCUGUAGCUCCAGAAAACUUCCAUGCUCUGUCCAUUGAAGAAAGAAAGAGCCUGUAGGCCAGGGAGGGAAAGAGGCCGCCCUGCCUUGUAGCAUUUUUGUCUGUGGACCAUCUUAAGGCCGCUAUGCCGGAAGACCCCGGGAUCCUGAUGGUAACAGGGAAAUUGCAACAUGAGGAAUCACUUAAGUGGUCAUGUUUGUAAAGUUCUGAGGAGUGCAAUACCCCGUGUGUGGAUAGGCAGCCCAGCACACCCUUAGCCUGGAAGCUCUUUGGCCUUAUUCUGCUUCCCUGGUGAGUGAGUGGGGAAGGAACAGACCAGCAAACCAGCUCUAGACAGCUAGAAUUCUUUCUUGGUGAGGUUCCUGCAGCUGCUACAUAUCUAUCUCUACUCUGUGAUAGCCUCUGCGAUGGGUCUUUACAGAAGGCCUGCCCUGGUGUGUGUGCCUUUCCACGGCAGCUGCUCAGUCUCUCCAGGCAAGUGGUGCCACUGCUUCAUCCUGGUCCCAUGACAAACCCCUUCUGUCUUUCCUUUGUGUCUUUGGGGAAGAGAAAUCUGAGCUUGUACUAGCACACAGGAGAGUGGGGAGCUGUCCUGGGUCUGUUUGAAGCUAGGAUUUAACCUUAAACAUCCUGACCCUAGCCCCUACGCCUAGAGUAGGUUAUUGUGUAUGACCUGGUCUGUCUCUGCAGGAGCAUGAGCCAGUUGAGGAAAGGGACUAGAUCUGCUGCUUCUCUCAAUUCACAGAUUUGGGCAAGCAGGGGGAUCUCAAGAUACUGAUAGAGGCAUAGAUACUGUGGGAGGGCUGGGAACAGUUUGGGAGAGAGAUGGACUCAUCACUGCUCAGUGUUUAAUCUGAGAACACUAAGGAAACUCUAACUCUGCCUUCUCCCAGCUUUGUUUUUCUGUUUUUCUUGUUGCUAUACUCUGGGCCUUGGAAACUGGAGGGAAUUGCAGAAAAGGUGAGGAAAGGACAGGGAGAGGCCCUGAAGCAGAGAGACCCAGACCUACCUCCCUUCUCCCACUUCAUCCUGCAGCCCACUCUGGAAGACAAGACCCCGUCUGUUCCUAUCAACAGCAGACCACCAACGCACUGAGUCCCAGUGGGUGCCAGUCUCAUUGCUGGGUGCUUGACACACAUUAUUAUAUUUCAU